rfam:Dipodomys ordii contig_453, whole genome shotgun sequence.
GGGAAGGUGGCUCAGUGGUAGAGCACUUGCCUUGCAUGCAGGAGGCCCUCGGUUCAAUUCCUCACCACCACA